AGAGGUUGUAGCUCAGAGGUAGAGCAUCUGCCUUGAAAGCUGAAGGUCCCAGGUUCAAUCCCUGGCAUCUCCA